rnacentral:rRNA from 12 species
AAUGGCGGCCAUGCCAUCCUGUGGGUGGCCAAUCCCGUCAGACCUUGGAAGUUAAGCAUGGCCAGGCCUGAUUAGUAAAUGAAUGGGAUACCGCCUUGGAAGGCCACGGGCCUCUAGAC